rnacentral:rRNA from 1 species
GAUGAACGCUGGCGGCGUGCCUAAUACAUGCAAGUCGAGCGAACGGACGAGAAGCUUGCUUCUCUGACGUUAGCGGCGGACGGGUGAGUAACACGUGGAUAACCUACCUAUAAGACUGGGAUAACUUCGGGAAACCGGAGCUAAUACCGGAUGAUAUUUUGAACCGCAUGGUUCAAUAGUGAAAGACGGUCUUGCUGUCACUUAUAGAUGGAUCCGCGCUGCAUUAGCUAGUUGGUAAGGUAACGGCUUACCAAGGCAACGAUGCAUAGCCGACCUGAGAGGGUGAUCGGCCACACUGGAACUGAGACACGGUCCAGACUCCUACGGGAGGCAGCAGUAGGGAAUCUUCCGCAAUGGGCGAAAGCCUGACGGAGCAACGCCGCGUGAGUGAUGAAGGUCUUCGGAUCGUAAAACUCUGUUAUUAGGGAAGAACAUAUGUGUAAGUAACUGUGCACAUCUUGACGGUACCUAAUCAGAAAGCCACGGCUAACUACGUG